rnacentral:rRNA from 1 species
CGUCAGCUCGUGUCGUGAGAUGUUGGGUUAAGUCCCGCAACGAGCGCAACCCUUGCCCUGUUUUGCCAUCAUUAAGUUGGAACUAUCAGGGGACCGCCAGCGAUAAGUUGGAGGAAGUGGGGAUGACGUCAAGUCAUCAUGGCCUUUAUGUCCAGGGCUACACACGUGCUACAAUGGACGGUACAAAGCGCUGCGAAGCCGCGAGGUGGAGCUAAUCGCAAAAAACCGUUCUCAGUUCGGAUCGCAGGCUGCAACUCGCCUGCGUGAAGCUGGAAUCGCUAGUAAUGGCAGAUCAGCAUGCUGCCGUGAAUACGUUCCCGGGCCCU